CCGGCUGGAUGGCGCGGCCCGGAGGCGGGGGGAGGAGUGGGAGGGCGGAGAGGGAGGAUGCCAGGAUGGAUGAAGCGAGGGGGUUGGUAGAGCGAGGAGAGGGAGAGAGAAAGUGUGCGUGGGUGGAGGGGACGGGGAAAGGAAGGUCGGGCCGUGCGGACUAAGACUUUAGGUUUCUAGGGUUAAGGUGAAAGGUCCGACGUCGCCGCCCGGCCCCCCGCCAGUCGGUACCUCAAAUUCCACCACAGCUUCUGCCGGCGCAACGGGCGUCGGACCGUGCCAUGCUCGGUCCCUCGCGUCCCGGCCUCGUCGCAGCGGAAACCUAGCCGCACCUCCUUCCGCAGCAGCGCCGGCCGCGCCCGCGACAAGCGACGUUGAUUGUUGAGGCGCGGCCACCGGUCCCACCUCUUUGUCUCCUAUCUAGUUUCAGUUUAUGACUGAAACCUGUCAUAGUCUUGGAGCAACUAAUCUGAUCUUCUGUCGUAGUAUAAGCCAGAGAACCUCUCUCGUGUCAUAACAAUGUUACGACUAUGUAUACUAUCGCUAAGAAAGGUACACCUACCUAAACCACCGAGAAACCAACUUAAGUACCAAUCUCUUUGACUUUUCGAUGUACGUUUCCAACCCUCUAUGUUCUCGGGUCUACUCGUGGGUAAGAAAGGUCUUCUAGACGGACUCUGUGACAACGGCGGAUAGGUCAUAGGUUGCCAAGACGUAGGAUAACGACUAAGGUAAUUAUAGUUGUUUCUCUAAACCUUUUACAUGAAACUACUUCAAGAAGGUUCCGAUCACUUCCUUCCUUCACUACCUUUAAGACCUAGGUCACGAGAAACGCUGUGCUGGACGAACGUCCGUGAGAGAUUCUCUUAGGUGAUACCUUUCAAACACCGUCUCCGGUUCAAAGUUCUCAGGGGACUUCUAAUGUGAGGACGUUAUUUUCGAGUCCUGCCGCGAGUUGAUUACGUCGAGGAGUGGAUGCUCUGCCAACUCGCACGGUAGCUUGUAGCCCACCUUUGGUUCCGGUUCUAUAAACCUGUCCUCCACUUGUAUCCUCGACUUCGGUUCCCGUACCGCGGACACAUGUUCUAGUCCGGGUCGGACCAGCGACCUGACAUGCCGUUGUCCUAGUACGGCGAUUGGUUCCUGCAGGUCCAUCGUAUGAACGAUUCCUCCGACCUGACUCGCGAGUGUUUACACGUCACGUCACGGACGAGACAGCAGGCUAAAAGAGCGCAGUAGUUUCUUAUUUGCCCCGUCCUUUGCCGGUAUCCGUGUAAGUAUAACCCUGAGUUGAACCUUCUUGUAUAAACUCUGCAAAUAACAAAGUAGAUAUAUCUAAAAACAUAGUGUUCUCGUUCUCCUCGGUGGCACGCCACCCUGACACCGUAUACUAGUAAAGAUAACGACAACCACAAAACGUUUCGAAACUUAGAAUCUCGUCGAGAACGACUAAGACAUUUUGGAGUCGGACAUAUUACCAAAAUUCCUGCUAGCCAGUUCAAACAUCUCUCCAACCGCCGUUUUAGUCAAAUAAAAAAAUAAAAACUCAACUCGCUUUAGUUUAAGUCGUAUUGUACAAGACGG
rnacentral:rRNA from 1 species